UGGGGAAUAUUGGACAAUGGGCGCAAGCCUGAUCCAGCCAUGCCGCGUGAGUGACGAAGGUCUUCGGAUUGUAAAGCUCUUUUAGCAGGGAAGAUAAUGACGGUACCUGCAGAAUAAGCCCCGGCUAACUUCGUGCCAGCAGCCGCGGUAAUACGAAGGGGGCUAGCGUUGUUCGGAUUUACUGGGCGUAAAGCGCGUGUAGGCGGGCUGGAAAGUUGGGGUGAAAUCCCGAGGCUCAACCUCGGAACUGCCUCCAAAACUUCCAGCCUGGACUCAAGUAGAGGCAAGUGGAAUUGCGAGUGUAGAGGUGAAAUUCGUAGAUAUUCGCAGGAACACCAGUGGCGAAGGCGACUUGCUGGACUUGUAGUGACGCUGAGACGCGAAAGCGUGGGGAGCAAACAGGAUUAGAUACCCCGGUAGUCCCUGAGCGGGCUGGCAAGGCGCAU
rnacentral:rRNA from 1 species